AUACGGAGGGUGCAAGCGUUAAUCGGAAUUACUGGGCGUAAAGCGCACGCAGGCGGUUAAUUAAGUUGGGUGUGAAAGCCCCGGGCUCAACCUGGGAAUUGCAUUCAAGACUGGUUAGCUAGAGUCUCGUAGAGGGGGGUAGAAUUCCAUGUGUAGCGGUGAAAUGCGUAGAGAUAUGGAGGAAUACCGGUGGCGAAGGCGGCCCCCUGGACGAAGACUGACGCUCAGGUGCGAAAGCGUGGGGAGCAAACAGGAUUAGAUACCCUGGUAGUCCACGCUGUAAACGAUGUCGAUUUGGAGUCUGUGACCAUGAGUCGUGGGCUCCGGAGCUAACGCGUUAAAUCGACCGCCUGGGGAGUACGGCCGCAAGGUUAAAACUCAAAUGAAUUGACGGGG
rnacentral:rRNA from 1 species